AGGAUACUUUUCUCUGAGUCGAACGAUGGCUGGGAGAAGAUCAUGAAUUGUGCGUUAUGUCGGUCCGUUGCAACCAAUUUCCGGUUUCUUACUUCGUGUGAGCUGUGUACUCCAGUAAAAAGUUCCCGAGCGUGAAGACAAAGAACAUGAAAAGAAGAACAAAAACUAAAACAACAAUAAAAAGUAGAAUACAUCUAGAAUUUUCGACAAAUAAAAGAAAUAUUCGAAGCAUGUGUAACGGAAAAUAGUAUCCCCUGGAAAGUCCCGCCCUCUAUCGCGCCUCGAAACCCCGCACAAUGUAACUGAAAGUCCCGUCCUCUCUCGGAAACAACUCAUUUGCAGUUAUUUAUAGUUGUAUAUGCAAACUAACAAGAUAGCCAGCGAAUAGCAGAUCGCGGAAAACAGUCUGAGCUGUUUCCACCUCCCUACCUAGUACCUAUCUCUCCACAUUAAACCUAACUUUGUUUUAAUUCGAUGACUACUCACUGCAAUACAACAACAUCUGGAAAUUGUUCAUAACUUAAGCCACAAAGAGGACCUUAAUCACAACGAUGACCUUCUUCAAACCUUUUAAAAACCAGUAAGUACCAUAUUAUAAAUUAGUGUGACAUAGCUUUUCCACAAUGAUCAUCGUUUUUUAAUUACUGAAAUGACAAAGCCAUGCCUAAUUAAGUCUUAGCCAUCUUUUUAUUCCCAGACCUUGGAUGGAUAGAAAGAUGUCCGGACUAAAGCGUUGAAACAUGACUUAGUAGUUGUAAUGGUUGAGGGUUUAACAUCAUGACUUCAUGUUUAAAUGUUUGACUUUCACUUUCCCUCUUCCUCACCCAAGUCCCAAUCCCCCAGCUCCUCCCCCGGCCCCUCCCAGAUGGAUUGGUGCUGAUACGAAUGGACGGAGUAGCUGGCCAGAAGAUGAUUUUGACAAUGGAGACGUGUACGAACCCCCCCCCUACGAGCGGCCUGCCAUCAAAGUCGAGACACAACCAACCAAUCUGGAUUUAAUUUACCUGGACCACUCGUCCGAUCAGCCGGCCCCACAGAGGCCCGCCGCUCCACCCCCAAGACCACCCGUCCAGCCUCAGAGACGAGGUGCUCAACCGCAGAGACCUCCAAGACAAUGUGAUCCACAAAGACCGAUUCCUCCUGCAAUGGCACCAGCUGGCCCACCACCCAGGCCAAUCAAACUGACACCGUCGGGCAAAGUUUUGCCGCCACGACGGGAAGCCGAGGUGUUUCACGAUCCCAGCAUCUCCAAUCCUCCUGAGGUGGACAGACAGGAGAAGCCGGGGAAGAGUAGGCCUAGUGCCCUAAACAAGUUCCCCCCCCCUCCUUUCGCAAGGCCCCCUCUCCCAGGCCCGGCCCCAGACACAGAGGAAGAUGUGUACGUAGAUCCAAAUGAAGAACAGGGAGACAGUGAUGGCGUGUAUCUCAAGCCAACACCAGCUUUGCCUUUGCCCUCUCCUGCACCAAUGAGAUUGCCUCCUACUAUGGUGGCACCUCCUGGUGGCCUGAUGAAGCCUCCUGUGCCGAGGACCACGAAUAAUUCUCUGACAACAUCCGUCACUGAGAUGAAACCAGCUCCUGAUGGCAAGCGGCCCAUGCUGGCCCUACCACCCCAGAAGGACUCCAAACCUCGAAUUCCUUCUCCCCCAACGGUGGACCAAAUCCCAGGAGUUGGAUACAUUACAGGACAAUGAGUGGUUCACUGCGGUUUCUACGAGAAAGUAUGCUGAGGACCUCCUCCUGAGAAUAAAUAAGGACGGCGCCUUCCUCAUACGCCCCAGCUCGUCCCAGGACCCCCGGCAACCGUACACCCUGGCCGUGCUCUACAGGGAGAAG